GAUGAAGAACGUAGCGAAAUGCGAUAAGUAAUGUGAAUUGCAGAAUUCAGUGAAUCAUCGAAUCUUUGAACGCACAUUGCGCCCGCCAGUAUUCUGGCGGGCAUGCCCGUUCGAGCGUCAUUUCAACCAUCAAGCCCCCGGGCUUGUGUUGGGGACCUGCGGCUGCCGCAGGCCCUGAAAAGCAGUGGCGGGCUCGCUGUCACACCGAGCGUAGUAGAUUUUAUCUCGCUCUGGGCGUGCUGCGGGUUCCGGCCGUUAAACCACCCUUUUAACCCAAGGUUGACCUCGGAUCAGGUAGGAAGACCCGCUGAACUUAAGCAUAUCAAUAAGCGGAGGA
rnacentral:misc_RNA from 1 species